rnacentral:misc_RNA from 1 species
GAUGAAGAACGCAGCGAAAUGCGAUACGUAGUGUGAAUUGCAGAAUUCAGUGAAUCAUCGAAUCUUUGAACGCACAUUGCACCUCUCGGUAUUCCGGGAGGUAUGCCUGUUCGAGCGUCAUUUGUACCCUCAAGCUCUGCUUGGUGUUGGGUGUUUGUUCCGCCUCUGUGUGUGAACUCGCCCCAAAACAAUUGGCAGCCGGCGUACUUGUUUCGGAGCGCAGCACAUUUUGCGAUCCAGAUCAACGUACAGCGGCAUCCAAGAAGCCUUAUUUAACGCUCUUGACCUCGGAUCAGGUAGGGAUACCCGCUGAACUUAAGCAUAUCAAUAAGCGGAGGA